rnacentral:tRNA from 3 species
GGAGAGGUGUCAGAGCGGUUGAAUGAGCACGCUUGGAAAGCGUGUGGACGCAGUAAUGUGUCUCGAGAGUUCGAAUCUCUCCCUCUCCG